rnacentral:rRNA from 1 species
AACGAACGCUGGCGGCAAGCCUAACACAUGCAAGUCGAACGAGCUUAGGGCCAGUUUACUGGUUACGGCUAGUGGCAGACGGGUGAGUAACGCGUGGGAAUUUACCUAGUAGUAUGGAAUAACUAUUGGAAACGAUAGCUAAUACCGUAUACGCCCUUCGGGGGAAAGAUUUAUCGCUAUUAGAUAAGCCCGCGUUAGAUUAGCUUGUUGGUGAGGUAAUGGCUCACCAAGGCUACGAUCUAUAGCUGGUCUGAGAGGAUGAUCAGCCACACUGGAACUGAGACACGGUCCAG